CAGCUUGUUAGUCUUAAAUAGUCUAGAACUACUGUUUACCAUUUAAAUUUAUUGUUAAAUUAUUCUUAAGCUCCCACCGCAAAUAGUCGGUGUUAUUGUGAGCACGAAGAAAGUGCAUUUUUGUUAAGAAUUUGACCAAUAAUUAACGGUUUGUUUGACCCUUCUUCUGUGCUGGUAUUAUUCCCGCCUGUGCGCCAGGUUUCCUAGUAAAAUCGUACUAACUUGUAUGAUAGUUAGAUCAUAUUUCGGUUAUAUCAUAUUUCAUCUGGAAGGUAGUUAUCGAGUAAAAAACUAAGCGAUUUAAAAGCAAUAAAAACAGUUCUUAAAAAUAUUUUUUCAAUUUUUUAAUAUGAUUGGUUUAUGUAAAAAUAUAUUAAAAUUAUAGGAUAUCCAAUCAGAAAUAUUCAAUAUUUUUAUGAAAUUACUCUAGCUGGGAUCAACAAAAUCAUUAUAUAAACUUUUUAUUUAUUUAUUUUUUUUUUCAUGCCGAGCGAUCGUCUGUUUUUUUAAGAAAUACUAUAACAAACAUAAAAAAGUACCUGGCAAUCCCUAGCACUCAAUCGAGAAUUUUAAAGAUAUGCUGUUUUUAAAUAUUAUGUGAUUUUUCUGUCGCAUUUAAUGUGGUGUAAGCACGAAGAACAUGAUACUUAAUAAAGUUAAAUGCACUAAAAUUAAUAAUACAAAAACAAAAUUGUGUUUCGAGUCAGUAAGAAAACUGAUUUGAACAUUGAUAUAAAGAAAUGUGAAAAGCCAGAGGGGGUUGGAAACUGAAGAUAGAAUCGAACAUACUCUAAAUAAAAGAAAGAAAUAAAAUCUGAAAGGAUUCAGAUUUUAACGUAGCACCAGAAGAUUGGUUAAUGUAUUUAAUGUUCUCGUUGAGCAUCGCAUUUACCAAUUUGCUCUUGGACACACUGCUGCUAAUACAAUUUCUUUUUUUUUGUCUUUCUGUUUUAUUAUUAAGUAUUGCUUUCUUCGUGCUUAUGUCUCGUCAACUUCAAAAGCAAAAUCCCAAAAUAUUUAAAAACAGCAUAUCUUUAGGAUUCCAAAUAGAGUGUUAAAGGUUGCUAAUAUGUAAAAAGUAUAAUAUUGGAAUUUCGAAUUUUUAUAAGCGAUUCAAAGUCCUAUAUGAGAAUUUUUCUUGUUAAGACUGCUUUACAAGUAAGUAAGUCUAAAUAUAUUGCCUCUCGAAAUUUCAGGAUCAUCUUAUAUGAAGAGUUUUUUGUGCGUUUGUUAAAUUUUAAUAUCUUUGUUUCUCACGUUUCGACCAAACAAAACUAAAACUGGGAUAAAACGAUGUUGUCGAUGACGUAUUAAUUAUCAGGAGGAAUUCCGCUGCGUUUUCUAAACUCCACGGUAGGCGGAGAAUCAUUGACAAAAACUGUUCACGUAAAAGUUAUUUCGAUAAAACAUGCAAAUGGCUCCACAUUCUCCUGGGCGUCUUCUGCAGUCACGCAAGCGAAACAUUCCGAAACCAUUUACGGGGCCCAUUUUGCAUAAAAAGACGGAUAUUCAAAUCAUCGGGUUCGACUCUCCCCUCUCAGUAUCCAUGACUUGUUUAUGGAUUAAAAUUAAAGCGCUCGCGGAUCAGCCCUCGUGACACCAAUCGGGACUCGAGGCCCCGGGUUAGGUUCUUCUGGAGCUUCCGGAAUAGAAAAAAAGUGAAUGGCAACGGAAGUGGAUUUUGUUUCAUAACAUUGGGAUUCCCAAUGCUUCCCAGGAGCCUACUGACUUAUUUUUUUUAUUUGCUUCUUUCUUGUGGUCUUUUUUUGUAGCUGUUACGUGAAUUAGGUUGGGAGGCUCGUGUGGUGUAUAAAAAUUCACAGACCGCGUUGGGAAUGGACAUUAUCUGCACUGGGAUCAUUGACUACACGCUCAGGUUGCGGAAGCAUCCAAACCUUUAGUGCUACACACCUCUUGUUGUUGAGGAAUUCAUUCCUAAAGAAGACAAGAUGCGUUUCCUAUUCCUCGUCUGCCUCGUGUUCGUCGUUGCCUUGCAGUGCUGGAGCCCAGCCGAAGCUCAGAAUGGUGGACAACGACUAGCCGACCGAAUCGACCAGAUGCUUUGCCAGACGAGUUGUCCACUCCUCUCGAGCUCCCAUCGCGAUGGUUGCUGCAAGAAAUACCACUACAACCGAUGCUGCUGAAGAACAAACAGACUGGUCGAGGAAUCUUGAGAAAUCUGUCUUGCAUCCAAAGCAUUCAUUUUGCUCAUGCUGAGUAUUUGUGAUGUGUAUUGCUGUUAUAUAUUGGGCUAUGGUUUACACUGUGCAAUACGCCUGUAAAUAAAUACCUUUUUAUAUAUAUAAAAAAA